UCCACAAACCCUUUCUCCUCCAAUUUUCUCCUCCUCUAGAACCUUCAUCCCCUCUUCUCUAACCUAUCAUUCUUGCCUUGAAUCAAGAAGAAAACUCAAAUAUUUCUCCUUCAUCUCUUGAGAAUGAGCUUUCCUUAGGGUUUUUGAGAAGUUUUGAGGAGGCGAGACUUCAACCAAGGGGAAAGAGCCGGUGGAGAAGUAACACCAUGGUGUCUUAGCUCGCCAAGUUUGUGAUAGCACAGCAGCGGGAUAGAAGCAUGAAGUGCUUGGGAGAGUAGUUUGUAUUAUUUAAGCUGUGUAUGAUAUUUAAGCAUUUUAGCAUGUAUUAGCAGGAUCCACUAGUAUGUUAUAACUCCAUAUUUUGUUAUACUUUCCUUGGACAUUCGUAUAUGUGUGAAUUUGGAUUAUAUAAUGUAUGAAAGUCAUACUCAGUGUUCGGGGGAUGGUGUUCUUAUGUUAUGACCUUCUAUGUUAUGAUUAUCUAUGUAUCAUAUCUUGUAUUAUAGUGAUGAGCAUAUGUAGGAAUGGUUGUGCCUAUCGGAUUGAUAAAAUGUUUAUUGCUAUUAUGGUGGUUCUGCAUGGGAAACAAGUUAGCCUUACGGCAAUCAAGGGUCGAGGCAGUGUUGGACCUCCCUUGGGUUAUCGUAGUGGUAUGUCAUGUGUGGGACCCGUGGAACGGGACGUGACAUACUUUAGUGGUAUCAGAGCCCUGGUUUAAAGUUUAGGUGUAGAUUUAGACAGUAUAAUCUAGAUCUAGAGUUAGUUUCUCGAUUGGGUCAAAAGUCUGACUCUUUGUCUUUGUUACAA